UGAAAACAUAGAAUUUAUAAGGGAUACAUAAACUGGCCCAGAGUUUUCUUAGGAGGCCUCUAAAUUCCAUUUAGUUUUCAACAAUAUUUUUGAUAUUUUUAACUCUCAGAAUGGAUUUACAAAAUAUUCAUAUAAAAAAAUUAUCAAAAAUAUAAGAACAACAUACUUUUUAAUAAUUUUGAAAUAAUUAAAUUGUAUAUUAUUGGACUUACUUUAAAAGAAAGGUCAACCAUAGUCACAAAGAAAAACGGGAUUUUUGGGCUUUCUAAUUUGUAUGGAAAGCUUACAACGUAUGUAUAAAUACUAUGUAAAAGAAAAUCAAUUAUUGAAAUAUAUUUUGACUAACUGGUGGAGGUCCACGUAUACAAAAAGCAAAAACGGAAGAUAAUAAUAUAUUCAAUUAAUGUAAAAAUGAGAAGAGCAUUGUGGGAUUAAAAAACAUGAUGGUGAUAGAUUGUCUAAAACUAAUAGGAGUACUGGUAUUUCUCAAAACAAAACUGAUGGUUACAAAGAAACAGAAGAAAAGGGAUGAUACUAAUUUACUAGACAAAAGGCUGUUCUUUUGUAAUAUGGAGAUGGGCAAAAUUCAAAGUAGUAGUAUUCAAAACAGAGAAGAACAUAAGCUAAAGAAAAAAAGGGUUGUUAGACAUUGAAAUAAAAAAAGAACAGUAAAGUUCUCAAAGAGAACUUAUUUAAUAAUUUUAAUUAGUGUUUAUAUUGUCAUGUAAAAAAUGUAAUAUAUGUUAUUUCUGAAUAAAAGACAUUUAAUAAUGAUA
rnacentral:lncRNA from 1 species